GAUGAACGCUAGCUACAGGCUUAACACAUGCAAGUCGAGGGACCGGCGCACGGGAGAAUUACACGUAUCCAACCUGCCCUUUACUCGGGGAUUGCCUUUCGCAAGAAAGAUUAAUACCCGAUAUAAAGGAUGGGGAUGCGUUCCACUAGGUUGUGGGUGAGGUAACGGCCCACCAAGCCUUCGCUGGGUAGGGGUUCUGAGAGGAAGGUCCCCGCCAGUGGAACUGAGACAAGGACCAAACUCCUACGGGAGGCAGGAGUGAGGAAGAUUGGUCACUGGGCGUUAGCCUGAACCCGCCAAGUAGCUUGAAGGAUGAAGGGUUAUGGGUCGUAAACUUCUGUUAUAUAAGAAUAGGUAUUAUAAGAAUAAGGACCGGCUAACUCCGUGCCAGCAGCCGCGGUAAUAC
rnacentral:rRNA from 1 species